rnacentral:lncRNA from 1 species
ACUAGCCUAGGAUUAAUAUCAGCCCAUUUUUUGGAGGAGAACCAACAAGACUGGCUAUUUGACUGGAUCCCCCAAUUGGUUUACUCCAAGAUUCCUCUUCAUUGGCUUAAGAAGAUACAAGACAGGAGUCUCCAAUCCUUAGACCAUGGACCAAUAUCAACCAUGGCCAGUUAGCAACCCGGUAACAAAGCAGGAGGAAUAUGUUUAAUACUGUUCAAAAGAAGAGAAGGAAAGAAAAGCAAAAAGAACAGAGGAAAAGAAACCCAGAGGCAAGGAAUAAAAAAGUCCUAUACAAAAAGACUCCACCACAAAGAAGAUUGAGAGGCACAAGGAAAAUCAGCCCUGAGAAGUAAAUACUGUUGCUGUCAUCCCUAUUUUACAAAUGAGGAAACAAAAAUAGAGAAAUGAAGCAAUUUGUCCAAGAUCACUCUGCUGGCAAGCAACAGAACCAGGAGUUUAACCCAGAUCAUAGCAGAGAACAAACAAGGAGGAGGAAGAACAGGAGGAGGAGGGGGAAAAGAGGAGGAAGAAGAAAGAAAGAUUAAAGAAGAAGAAAGAAGGAAGGAGGAGGGGAGAAAAAGAAAAUAAUAAUAAUGAUAGUCUCAAUUUUAGACUAUUAUGUACCAUAUUAAGGACUUAACAUUCACUCCCUCACUCAUACAUUUUUUCAAGGUAAAUGUGCUGUUAACCCCAUAGCAUAGACACCUCUGGACUUCUGAAACAGAAUCCUGUGACCACCGUGGAUGAAACAUAGACUCUCAUUAAGCUGCAGUUCCAAUGCCUGAGUAGCGUGAAUUGCUUCUAUGAUAAGGCAUUAUUUAGCCUUUGCCUGAAACAGCCCUAAUGAGAAGGAUCUCGCCACCUCAUGGCAUGGUCCAGUUCAUUUUCAGAAGCUUUCUUUGUAAUCUGUGCUUAUAAAAUUGUUAACAGGGGAUAGCUAAUAAAAUGGCCUCCUAAAAACUCUA